UUCAGACUUUCAUCAUAUCCUUUUCAGACCACAAAGUCCCGCUGUUCCUAGCCUGUCCUCACACACGGCCCCUUCAUCCCUUUAUUGUAGCUGCUUUCCUCCAGCAGAUAGUCAUCUAAUACCACUGUCUUUUCUGAGGUGAACAACCAAAACUCUGUGUGUUGUACACAUGAAUGAGCUCUGGAAUUGGACAAAGUGACCUCAGAGUGACCUUGGAAGCUACAUGCUGAAAUGCUGAAGAUGGCAGAGGUUCAGUGAGACAGGAUCCUUGAAGAUUUAAUAAAGCAGAGCCCUACCUGCCAAGACUUCUCUUUUGCAGAACCCAUUACGUGUUUGGGCCUAUUUGUUAUUGUAGCCUAGCCUGAAAUAAUUAAUACUAAUAAUAAAUAAAUGACUUCUAAACAGUGUUUUCAGAAGUAUAAUUAGUGAUCCACUUAAAAAUCUGUGGUUUGUAGAAAAUGAGUAAAGCUUAGUCUUAUAUGUCAAACCCUUAUGUUGGGUUUUCAAUAUGCCAGUCAUGCUACAAAGAACUAGAAACAAAGGAUGAUUAAAACAUGUCUUUGCCCUAAGAAGCUUUUUCAAUGCUGGCAUGAACAGGCAUAUAAACAAAAAUUCAACAUAAAAUUGUAGGUGUCAUUAUAGAAACAUGUAUUAG
rnacentral:lncRNA from 10 species